rnacentral:lncRNA from 1 species
CAGUCAGGAUGGGUGGCAGGGACAUAAGGCAUUUUAUGAGAAUGGUCUCAUAUUCCCAAAGUACAUACUAUGAUCUCCUUUUUACAGAUCCUAAGAGACUCAGAAAGGCUAAGUAACUUGCCAAAGUUCAUAAAGCUAGCAAGGGGCUAGAAAAGGAUUUCAACACGGAGUGCUUGUUUCCAAAGCCUGAGUUCCUCCCCUACACUUCUUCCUUAGACCCCAAGAGGAAAAGAAGAGGUGCUGUGGAGGUUCAAAGAAGAGAGAGAGUUGAGGAUUCAAAGUCCUGAAGGUCCAUUCUUUGGUUUCAAGAAGGCAGGACAUCAGGAACUUCCAUCAUGGGAGCAGGUUCAUUUCCAGAAAGAAAAUCCAGUCAGUUUUGCCAAAUGUGAGGAAAAGAGAAAUUGCAAAAAACAAAACAAAACAAAAAACCAAUAAAGCCGACUAUAACUGGGGCAGGCACAGCCAAUUUACCAUGCAGUCUCCUUUGAUUUGGUUCAAAGAGGCAAAGUGCCCAGUUUCAAGUCCUCUUGCCUCCAGCCCAGGCAUCCUUACAACUAGGAGUAGCUGUAAGAUCCAGUUCUGGCCAAUGAGAUGUAUGCAGAAUCCAAUGGGUGGAGCUCCUGGGUAACCUCUUUAAAAGGAAAUGUCCCCUUUGGCAUGUGGUCCUUCCUUUGUUUGCACCUGAAAAUAGUCGUGAUGCCUGGAGGAGCAGCAGCCAUCCUGUGCCCUGAAACUGAAAGCAAUGUUCUAGGGCUGCAGAUGGGAAGGUGGAAGGACGGAGCCUGGGUCCUCGAGGACUUUACAAAACCACUUACUUGAUAGGAGAGACAGGGUGAAACUCCAGCCGUCUGCCUCCAGAACCCACAUGACAAUUAGGUUAAUGACAGUGUUUGGGGUCAGGGGGUUGGCGGAGGUGGUCUCCUUUCACUGGAGUUCAGCUCUCAAAUGACUAUGCAGGAAGCUUCACCUGACCCCCAGAAUAAGUCAGGAUUCCCCCAUUUUAUAGAUUGGUGGCUCACCAGUCAUUUCCCUCCCAGCAGUUACCACAAUUAUUCGUGUCACUGUAUAAUGCCUGCGACCAGUGCAGACUCUGAGUUUGCAAGGACCCAGUCUUUAUCUACAUAUGUAUCUGUAUCUAUAUCCGUAUCUGUAGCUUUGUCUAUAUCUAUAUCCAUAUCCCUAUCCACAUAUCUAUGUAACUAAAACCAUUGUGUCCCUGG